rnacentral:lncRNA from 1 species
CACACGUACAGGCUCUGAGGGACCAGGAGAGGUUCUCUCUGCUUUCGGGUAGUGCUUUCCGCUGUAAGCUGCCCACCACGGCCUUUAAUAAGAAGGGCGGAUAAGUGGACGGAUGGAUGGGAGGACUGAGGGGGCUUCUUGCAUUUUACGACAGCAGAUUCAGAUCUGAGCACUGGGCCGGGGGCCCCUAACCACACGCAGAACAGCACCCCAUUCUUCCCGCACGUCGCUGCCGACCAACUGCUCAACUGGACUCUGACAGUUCCUCCAUGGUGGUCAUGAUCUUUCCGGUAAGACCACAUGUUAGAAGUAUAAAAAUGACACACGGGGGUCUGCAGAUAACAAAGCUGAGCUGGAAUCUAUGGACAAAUCUUCCAAAAUCAGCUUGGAUGGACGGAACCUCGGCCUGGUGACCCACCGGAGCAACGGCACCACACACAUGCUGCCCUCGAAGCUGUGUCCCAGGCUGCCCUCCAAGGCCUAGCAGCCUGCACCCCUCCCUCCAUGGGCACAGCACCCAGCCUGGCCCCGGGGCACAGACCCUGGUCAAACCGUCC